GAUGAACGCUAGCGGCAGGCCUAAUACAUGCAAGUCGAGGGGCAGCGGGAGUAGCAAUACUUGCCGGCGACCGGCGCACGGGUGCGUAACACGUAUGUAAUCUACCCUUUACUGGAGAAUAGCCCGAAGAAAUUCGGAUUAAUGCUCCAUAAUAUCACUGGAAGGCAUCUUUUGGUGAUUAAAGUUCCGACGGUAAAGGAUGAGCAUGCGCGAUAUUAGCUAGUUGGUGAGGUAACGGCUCACCAAGGCG
rnacentral:rRNA from 1 species